GGUGCCAUAGCUCAGUUGGUAGAGCAAAGGACUGAAAAUCCUUGUGUCCACCGGUUCGAUUCCUGGUGGCACCA
rnacentral:tRNA from 1 species